rnacentral:rRNA from 1 species
AGAGUUUGAUUCUGGCUCAGAACGAACGCUGGCAGCGUGGAUUAGGCAUGCAAGUCGAACGGGAAUCCCCGUUUUCAAUCUUUCGAGAGAGAAGACGGGGAGGAGAGUGGCGAAAGGGUGAGUAUCGCGUGGGUAACCUGCCUCCGAGUUGGGGAUAACUCCCCGAAAGGGGUGCUAAUACCGAAUACGGUCUUCGCAUCGCAUGGUAUGAAGAUCAAAGGUGGGGAUCCUUAGGGACCUACCGCUUGGAGAGGGGCCCGCGUCCCAUCAGCUAGUUGGUAAGGUAACGGCUUACCAAGGCUUACGGGUAGCUGGUCUGAGAGGAUGGUCAGCCACACUGGGACUGAGACACUGCCCAGACUCCUACGGGAGGCUGCAGUCGAGGAUCAUUCGCAAUGCGCGAAAGCGUGACGAUGCGACGCUGCGUGGAGGAUGACGGCCCUAGGGUUGUAAACUCCUGUCAUCCGGGAAAAAUUGUCCCGGUGCAAAUAGUGCCGGGAUUUGAUGGUACCGGAGGAGGAAGCCACGGCUAACUCUGUGCCAGCAGCCGCGGUAAUACAGAGGUGGCAAGCGUUGUUCGGAUUUACUGGGCGUAAAGCGUGCGUAGGCGGUCUCGUGUGUCGGAUGUGAAAUCCCAUGUCUCAACUGUGGAAAUGCAUCCGAAACUACGGGACUAGAGUGCAGGAGGGGAGAGUGGAAUUCCUGGUGUAGCGGUGAAAUGCGUUGAUAUCAGGAAGAACACCGGUGGCGAAGGCGACUCUCUGGAAUGUUACUGACGCUGAGGCACGAAAGCGUGGGGAGCAAACAGGAUUAGAUACCCUGGUAGUCCACGCCGUAAACGUUGCGCACUUGGUGUUGGAGGUAUUGUCCCCUCCAGUGCCGGAGUUAACGCGUUAAGUGCGCCGCCUGGGGAGUACGGCCGCAAGGUUAAAACUCAAAGAAAUUGACGGGGGCCCGCACAAGCGGAGGAGCAUGUGGCUUAAUUCGAUGCAACGCGAAGAACCUUACCAGGGCUUGACAUGGUACUGCACGCCCCGUGAAAGCGGGGAAGCCUUCGAGGGUGUACCACAGGUGCUGCAUGGCUGUCGUCAGUUCGUGCCGUGAGGUGUUGGGUUAAGUCCCGCAACGAACGCAACCCCUGUGUUUAGUUGCCACCGCCGGUGAUGAAUCGGCGAGCACUCUAGACAGACUGCCUGUACAAGCAGGAGGAAGGUGGGGAUGACGU